rnacentral:rRNA from 1 species
CCCUACGGGGSGCAYCAGGCGCGAAAACUUUACAAUGCGGGAAACCGUGAUAAGGGAACUCUGAGUGCCCGUUAAAUCGGGCUGUCCAUCAGUUUAAAAAACUGGUGAAGAAAGGGCCGGGCAAGACCGGUGCCAGCCGCCGCGGUAAUACCGGCGGCUCGAGUGGUGGCCACUAUUACUGGGCUUAAAGCGUUCGUAGCUGGUUUGUUAAGUCUCUGGGGAAAUCUUCCGGCUUAACCGGAAGGCGUCUCAGGGAUACUGGCAGACUAGGGACCGGAAGAGGUGAGAGGUACUCCAGGGGUAGGAGUGAAAUCCUGUAAUCCUUGGGGGACCACCUGUGGCGAAGGCGUCUCACCAGGACGGCUCCGACAGUGAGGGACGAAAGCUGGGGGAGCAAACCGGAUUAGAUACCCGGGUAGUCCCAGCCGUAAACGAUGUGCGUUAGGUGUAUCGGUGACCACGAGUCACCGAGGUGCCGAAGAGAAAUCGUGAAACGUACCGCCUGGGAAGUACGUCGCAAGG